AUUUAUUUAAAUUUUUUUCUCCAAAUGAUUUAUUUCAAAUAAAACAUUAAAAUGAAUAGACUAAAGGUUUACACCUGUGUUUAUAAUAACAAUAACUAGGCCUUGAGCUUUAAUCUCAAAUUGGAAGAUUUAAAUAUGCAAACAGGAACAUGAACCCAAUGAAGGAAACCAAAGGGGGAAAAAGGGAGAAAAAGAAGACCACGGUAAAGCCUAGCAUUAAAGAAACCCAUCCACAGUCAUCGCAAUCCUACAAACAUGCUUCUGCGGAACUACUUAUUGACACUCCCUUUCAAGUGUCAGCCAGGGGGAAAAAAAUCAUUUGAGUGUUAAUUCAAACAAUGGUUUAAUAUGUGGCAGACAUCCAUCAAGGCUUGACAGCAAUGGCCAACCCAAACUUCGCAUUUUUGUCCAAGGCCUUGGUAUCAAACUCACCAGAAAUUGUCAGCAAUGACUUUGGAAUGACCUCAUGCUGCAGCAGUGCCCCAAGUUUCCCAUAGUUGUUGAGCUUUGCUUUCACCACUGUCAGGUGAUCGACAGAAUAUAAGCCUCCAACUGUGAAAGUGUUCUCAUUUGUGGAAAACCUUCUAGAAAUCUCUGCCACAGCAGCACUCUUCUUUGACUGAUCCAGGUGAUGUACAUAUGAUGCUUUGAUACUGUCUCCCUUGUCACCCAAAAUUAUUGAUGCAUAGGAAUCCGGUUUGGUCACACUAAUGCCAGCAGUGUACUUCAUAAAAUUACCAGAAGUAGUAUCAUAGCCUGCUUCUGCACCAAAAGCAAUUGUUGGGGUACCAAUGGUGGCUGAAACAUCAACUGCAGGAGAUUUGUUCAAAGCAAGGGCUGUGCUGAAGGUUGCAUGAUCAUGGAAAUAUUGAACUUCCAACUACAAAAGGAAUAGAAGAAACAAAUUGUACAACUACAAACUACCAUUAUAAAGAAUCAAAUCCACCAACCAGCUAAAUCAGAAAACAAGGUUUGUAUGCCUCUCAUUUAAAAAAAGGCAAGUUAAAUAAAACAGCAAACAUUUCAACUUUAACAUUCCAAUCAGCAGACUAAUUCUCCUCUAAUAAAACAUUUUAUCACAUAUUCCAAAAUCUGCUUUACCCGCCAGGAUUCAAUGUAAACUCUCAAAUGGGAUAUAGAUUCUCAAAGUAACUAUCCAUAGGCCUUAUCAUUCUAACUUAAGAUACGCCAAUUACCUUGCCAGUAUUAUAGUCAGGAAAUUUGAAUGAAGCAAUAGUCUUAGUGGACGGAAGAAUCUCAGUGAUUGUGAGGGUUGUUGAGAUGUUGGAUUCUGUAUCAAUUUUAACAUCAAAUAAAGUGUUCUUGUAUUUGUACAGUGCAGCAACAUCACCAGUUGAGAGCCCUCCUUUUUUUGCAGCUGUUGAUGUCAGGACCUGAAAAAAGAGACAGAUAAUGGUGAUUCUUGCCAAGUGCAUCUAAAUGAAAUAACAACCCGAACAAAAUCCAAAAUAGCAUUAGCCAUGUAUGGCACAAUUUACAAAAGGCUUGUUCUAAGUAUGAACAAGCAACAUAUUACAAAGUUUAAAGUAAAAAAGUGAAGUUAUAAAUAAUUUACUUUCAUAGAUGACAUACUGAGCAGCCGCAAAAUCACAACAAAAUACAUGCAUAAUUGAAUGUUUCAUACAGAUUGAAAGGGAGCCAAUAAAAUUUCCUCCCUUUACCCCGUAAUAUGCGUAUGUGUGUGUCAUAAGGCAAACAGCAUCAAAUAAUUAAGCCACUAAAGUUUAGUAUUAGUGAAAUACCUUUCUUACCAACACCCAUGUGUAAUAUCAUCAUAAUGACUAUGUGCUCCUCUUCUAUAACAUUGCUCCUUUUUCCCCCUCUCCUUUUAGUGCAAUGGAGGAAUUGAUAGCCCAAACAUUGAGAUUGCUUGGGGCCAAGAGAUUCCUAUUAAGUCUGCCAUCCAGAUAUCUAAAAGUCACUCAGAACAACAUCGAGGAAAGAAACCCAAUGAUAUGAGAGAGAUACUAAGAAGGUUAAUCUGUUUCCCUAUUUUUCUCCAGGCAUACAUACACAAGCUAUAUUCUUCAUUAUCUAUAUAAAAGAAUAUGGCAUUUGAAGGCUAUGUCAUUAGUCAUCCCAUCACCUUCCCUCUAGGGUUUCUACAACAUCUCUGAUACAUUCCCAAAUUCACUUCCCAAACAAGCUUAGAAUACAUUUAUUCUAGUACAACUCAAGGACUUGCAUCAAAGCCCAAACCUCAGCCACAAUGGAAGUAGAAGAGCCAAUACUAUUCACAAAACCUCUCAAAGAGUUAAUGCAUUUGUCCCUUGAUACAAUACCUCCCCAAGAACAUCAGGAUUUCCUUUAGGAGCCCUAUCACAUUGAGUUUUGUCUGACCAAUCAUUAAUGGACUACAUCCUGCAACCUGCAUCAUCUUCUCUUCAGAGUACCAUGUCUCAUCCCUUACCCAUGCAGAUUUCACUUGAUUAGAUUGGCCCUUAAAGAACUUUUCUUCCACACUCAAAUCUUCUCCCCCUCCCAAAUGAUAAUAAUAAUAAUAAUAAUUUCACCAAUGCCAUAAGGAGUAAGAACAAUCCGAUCAAGGUCACCCUUGAAUCUACGACUUUAGUCAUUUUUGGUUCAAUGGUUGUGAGAAAAAUAGCAAAAAUUCCUUAUGUUGCAUUUAGGCACAAAAAGCAGGCCACACAAAGCUGCGGAAAGAGUAUGACUCAAUCAAACAGAACGAAGUGAUUAUCUAAUAUUUCAAAUCAGGCCACCAUCCACAAGAAAAAUGUCGCAAAGAUAAUUUAUUCAGUACAUAAAACGUUGUAUUUUAAAAUUUUUCUCACAGAUGACCAUAACAUCCUGUUCGCAUCUAAUCACAACCUAUCAAAAGCCUAAUUAACAACCUGAAAUCUCAACUUCUUACCAAUUAAAAUCAAUACACUAUACAUAUAAUCACAACUUCUAAAUCGCUAGCAAAUGACAUUGGACGUACCACUCCGGCAUCGCUAUAAGUACAGACGCUGAACUUCUGAUCGGAGCUGUAGUCCUUUGUCAAUAGAUCUUUAGCUUUCUUGCCGAUAUCGGAGAAGAGUCCAGGUCCCUUGCUCAUGCUGGGAGAGGUAGCGAGACUAGAAGAGAGACAGUGAAAGGGGUGAAUGGAAAUGGAAG
rnacentral:misc_RNA from 1 species